rnacentral:sRNA from 1 species
UAAUACGAUGGGCUGGUGUUGGUCUGGU